rnacentral:rRNA from 1 species
GACGAACGCUGGCGGCGUGCCUAACACAUGCAAGUCGAGCGAUGAAAUCCUUCGGGGUGGAUUAGCGGCGGACGGGUGAGUAACACGUGGGUAACCUGCCUCAAAGAGGGGGGUAGCCUCCCGAAAGGGAGAUUAAUACCGCAUAACAUUAGUUUUUCGCAUGAAGAACUAAUUAAAGGAGUAAUCCGCUUUGAGAUGGACCCGCGGCGCAUUAGCUAGUUGGUGAGGUAAAGGCUCACCAAGGCGACGAUGCGUAGCCGACCCGAGAGGGUGAUCGGCCACAUUGGAACUGAGACACGGUCCAGACUCCUACGGGAGGCAGCAGUGGGGAAUAUUGCACAAUGGGCGAAAGCCUGAUGCAGCAACGCCGCGUGAGUGAUGAAGGCCUUCGGGUUGUAAAGCUCUGUCUUUUGGGACGAUAAUGACGGUAUCAAAGGAGGAAGCCACGGCUAACUACGUGCCAGCCGCCGCAGUAAAAC